UACAGUUAGUUUUGCAGGUUUGCAUUGCAGUAUAUGUAUAUGGCUGUGCAAAUCCAUGCAAAACUGACGGUGAU
rnacentral:pre_miRNA from 12 species